CUUUCUCUAAAUGCAAGGUCUAUUGUUUUGGAAAAAAAAAUGUUUAUCUCAUCUAAUGUUAAUAUACAAACCUCUAAUUAAUCUAAUAAUCCAACAUCUCAUGUCUUUAAAUCAAAGGGAGUUUCUCUUUUUCUUGCAGCACUAUUUACAGAUUUUCCUUCAUUUUUUUUUUAGAUUUCCACAAGAUUGGACAAACAACAUCAAUGGUAGCAUAUAAUAUCUAGGAAUCAAAAUAUCAAUCAUUGAUUGAUAAAAAAUGAAUAAAAAUGACUGAUAGAGGUUUCCCCUUUUUCUGGAAUGCUCUUAAACAAACAGUUUAGCAGAAAUAAUCAUAGGAUAAUUGCAUUAUUCAAAUAUUCACCCAAAAAUAAAUAAAUCA
rnacentral:lncRNA from 1 species